UACGUAGGGGGCAAGCGUUGUCCGGAAUCAUUGGGCGUAAAGAACGUGUAGGCGGCCCGGUAAGUCCGUUGUGAAAGUCGAGGGCUCAACCCUCGAAUGCCGGCGGAUACUGUCGGGCUAGAAUCCGGAAGAGGCGAGUGGAAUUCCUGGUGUAGCGGUGAAAUGCGCAGAUAUCAGGAGGAACACCAAUGGCGAAGGCAGCUCGCUGGGACGGUAUUGACGCUGAGACGCGAAAGCGUGGGGAGCAAACAGG
rnacentral:rRNA from 1 species